GACCGCGUAGCUCAGUUGGCAGAGCAUUGGGCUAGUAUUCCAAAGGUCGUAGGUUCAAUUCCCAUCGUGGUCA
rnacentral:tRNA from 1 species